CUGCUCCUGACUGUCGAGGAAAAACAGGACUGUGCUCCGUAAUGGGUUUUCACCCUGGAAUUUAUGAUGAGGCUGUGUCACCUUCAGGACAUAGCCAGUCCCUUCCCCUGAACCUCAGAUGAUGAUUGCUGAGAGCUCACUCUCAAAGGGUUACAAUGCAUCACCCAGUCAGGCAAUUUCGUGCACAGUGGUGAAGCAAAAGGAUCCAGGGCAGGAGACAUUCUACUCCGAGAAACUUCUGGAUUGCUGAAUGCCCCCAAGAAAGUGAGACCUGGACCUUACAGAGGCAACACAUUUACAAUGCCCACUCCCCAGUGAUGUCACACACCCACUCUCCACAACACACGACCAAAGGAAGACUAUCCCAAAACGUGGGAGCUCUAGAAGAGAAGGACUUGACGCCCACCAACCUUUUGGAAAUGCAUGGAAUAGUCAACAGGCUGGCAUUGCAGGAGCGUAGUGUACAAGCUGGAAUAUAGGACCUGAGUAAGACAGUGAAAUAGGAUGGCUCAUGUAAUGCCCCAUAAGACAGUAAGAGAACUUUGAACUCAGUCAGAUAUUUUAUUAGGAGCCAAUGCAUGAAUGCAACAAGGAUGACAGUAAUGAGCUCUGACCUUUUGGUUCCAGUCAGGAUUCUAGCUGCAGAGUUUUGGCUGUAGGUUGUUGAGUUAAUUGCUUGAGAAACCAGAAACCAAUGCAUUGCAAGAGUCUAACCAGGUUGUGACAAAUACAUUAACUAAUUUUAUCAGCAUCCUGUAUGAACGGGAAGCUUCUGAUUUUAUUUAAAUCUUACACAAAUGAUUCAUGGAAAUGUUGGAAAUGUUCUUAAGUGGGUGGUCAUAUGAGAUGAGAUUCAAAAGUCACUUUAAGGUUUUUGACUAGGUUUUGAUAUCAAUGUAAUGCUCAUGUUAACCAUAUCACAUAGCUGCUUGCACACACGCCUCUAGCAUAACAUGAACAUGACAAGAUUUAAGAUUAGGUUUCCUGUAGCUAUAAUAUAACCAACACAAAAGCCAUUCAAAUCACAUACUACAGAAAUCCAAAAUCACCUUUUCUCCUAUACAAUAACAGUGCCUACCUGUGAUCCCAUUAAAUAGUGUUGCUGCAGCAACUAAUAUAUUACAUGGAGAAACUGAUUAAGGUCUGGUGAGGCUGAUUAAAAUCCGGUGCAGCUGAUUAAAAUAAUAGGUAUCUGAGUUUUAAUCCAGUUAACUUUUUUAAUUAAGUGAUUAAGAUGUUAUGCACAUGAAUUUAAAACAGAAAUUGCUGCAGUGGACAGGGCAGACAGGUAGAAUUGGUUGUUAGAGCAUUUCUCUCUGAAUCUGGACUUUCCAGUUGAAGGUUUAAUUAUACGUGCUAAUUAAAUUUUAUGAAAUGUGUUGGAGUAAUUAAAGUAUUACCAGAAGUCCACACAUCACUUAGACAGGGCAUUAUUGCUCAUGCUUUAGCGUGUAACUUGUAUGGAAAGCACAUUUUUAUGCCUCUCUUAAUUCAGAUUCGAUCUUGCCCAAUUCUAAUUACUAAUAGGUAAUGAAAAGCAAGUAGGAAAAUUGGUCUC